rnacentral:rRNA from 1 species
UACGAAGGGGGCGAGCGUUGUUCGGAUUUACUGGGCGUAAAGGGCGCGCAGGCGGCCAUUCAAGUCAGGCGUGAAAGCCCCGGGCUUAACCUGGGAGGUGCGCUUGGGACUGGGUGGCUAGAGAUCGGGAGAGGAGAGUGGAAUUCCCAGUGUAGAGGUGAAAUUCGUAGAUAUUGGGAGGAACACCAGUGGCGAAGGCGGCGAUCUGGGAAGAUACUGACGCUGAGGUGCGGAAAGCGUGGGGAGCAAACAGGG